rnacentral:rRNA from 1 species
CAGUAGCCGCGGGAAUACGAAGGGUGCAAGCGUUAAUCGGAAUUACUGGGCGUAAAGCGUGCGUAGGCGGUGAGUUAAGUCUGCUGUGAAAUCCCCGGGCUCAACCUGGGAAUGGUAGUGGAUACUGGCUCGCUAGAGUGUGUCAGAGGAUGGUGGAAUUCCCGGUGUAGCGGUGAAAUGCGUAGAGAUCGGGAGGAACAUCAGUGGCGAAGGCGGCCAUCUGGGACAACACUGACGCUGAGGCACGAAAGCGUGGGGAGCAAACAGGAUUAGAUACCCGCGUAGUCCCCGUCUCUUAUAC